CCCCCCCCCCCCCCCCCCCCCCCCCCCCCCCCCCCCCCCCCCCCCCCCCCCGUGGGGAGGGGACAGGAGGGUCCCCACGCCACACUCACCUGCUCUCCGGGCUUGCCAGCCUCGCCAGGGGGGCCAGCGGGGCCGGGCAGACCCUGGGCAGGAAAAGAGGAGCCGUGAGCCACCAGGGAGGGGACAAGGGAAAUGUCACCCACACUCGGGGUGCUCUGUCCCCCUGCCGGGGAAGGGGACACCCCUCACCUGGAAGCCGGGAGCACCAGCGGGACCUUGUUCGCCUCUUUCUCCAGCGGGACCCUGCGGGACACAGGACAGGCGUGGAGGGGGGCCGGGGGCUCCCGAGCCCCGCGCCCCGUGGCCGGGGGUGGCCCUGGGUAGCCGCGGGCCGGGUGAUACUCACCCCCCCCGGGGUAGCCGCGGGCCGGGUGAUACUCACGGUGGGGCCGGGGGGACCUUGGGCACCGGUUUCACCGUCCUUGCCAGCAGCGCCCUGGGGGUGGGAGGAGGGAGAGGAGGGGGCUCAGAGGGUUGUGUGCCCCCUCCCCCGAGCUGGGCGUGGGGCUGGACUCGCCCACGGGAUCCUUCGAAGGCCGGGAGUCACCGCGGCGAGCUGCCCGCGGCCACGUCACCGCGCUGUCCCCGCUCCAGCAGCGCCGGGAGCCCCCGGGACGGGACCCCAAACACCUCACACCGCUGAGAGCCCCCGGGACGGGACCCCAAACACCUCACACCGCUGAGAGCCCCCGGGACGGGACCCCAAACACCUCACACCGCUGAGAGCCCCCGGGACGGGACCCCAAACACCUCACACCGCUGAGAGCCCCCGGGACGGGACCCCAAACACCUCACACCGCUGAGAGCCCCCGGGACGGGACCCCAAACACCUCACACCGCUGAGAGCCCCCGGGACGGGACCCCAAACACCUCAUACCGCUGAGAGCCCCCGGGACGGGACCCCAGACACCUCACCCCGGGCCGGGAUCCCCAACACCUCACCCCGGCCGGGAUCCCUCGCUGGCUGCCCUGGGCAGCCUCACACGGCGCUCCCAGCCCAUUAAACCCCUAUUCACACCCUAAUGACAUCCCGAUCACACCCCAUCAAAUCCCCAUUCACACCCCAAUCACAACCCCGCUCACCCCCACCGCGGCUGUCUCCUGCCGGAGUGGCCCUGUCACCCUCCCUGUCACCCUCCCUGUCACCCCACAGCACGGUGACCCUCUCUGUCACCUCGCACCGGGGUCACCCUCCCUUUGUCACCUCCCCCGCGCUGUCCGUGCCCCACCCCGCACUCACCACGGCGCCGGGGGGACCGGGAGCUCCUCUCUCGCCAGGUUUGCCGGGCUCGCCCUAAAACCAGAGCGGGGUGAGCCCGUGGCGACCCCGCGCAGGGGGGGACAGUCCCCCGAGGGACGCGGGGAGGGUGGCACUCACCGCAGCACCUUUGGGACCGGGGAAUCCCAUCACUCCCGCCUGGCCUCUGGCUCCGGGGGGGCCGGGGGGGCCGGGGCGACCGUCUUGACCAGCGGGACCCUGUCGGGGGGAGCCAGCGCCCCCGUUAGCUGCGCCCGUGGCGAGCCGGGGGAGGAGGGGACAUCAGCGGGGACAUCAGCGGGGACAACUUACAGGGGGGCCGGUCUUGCCGUCGGGCCCGGGGCUCCCGGGGCUUCCAGUCAGACCCUGCGAGGCAGAGGAAGGGGGGUCAGGAGCUCAGCGAUUUCCAGGAGCGUCCUGGAAAGCGGCUCCUCCGCCGGCACGGAGAGCGCUGUGGCCGCGCUGAUGUGUCACCGUGUCACCGUGUCACCGUGUCACCGCGCCACCGCGCCCGCUCACCUUGGCACCGGGGAGUCCGGGUUCCCCGGGGCGUCCAGCUUCACCAGGAGAUCCUUUGGGGCCGACGGGGCCGGGGGAGCCGCGCUCGCCGGGGGGACCCUGGGAAGGGGGGACAGAUGUGACCCAGCUGCGGGACAGCACCCGGGGACAGGCACAGAGCCGAGUCCCCACAGGUGGCAGCCACAGGGAGCCGCUGUGGCCGCUGUGUGGGCACAGGUGACGAUGCCCAGAGUCCCCGCGGCCCCCCUGACGCGAUUUUGUCCCGCAGACUCACCUUGGGACCGGCCAUGCCAUCGGCGCCGGGGAAACCGCGACUGCCGGGAGCGCCCUGAGGGGGACACGGCAGGGGCCGGGGGGACCUUGGACACCAGCGGGACCCUGGGGAAGGAGGCGGAGGGAUGAAGACCCCCCAGGAGGGACCGGAGGGGGCCGCGCCCCCAGGGACACAUCGGGGGGUCACUCACGGGUUCGCCUUUGGCACCGGUGUCACCCUUGUUGCCUGGAGCACCGGGCUCGCCCUGCGGGGAGAGAAGAGGGGAAAGAUUGAACUCCGCAUCGAGGAGCUGAGCGACCCCCCCGAGGGACAAGGAGCCAGCGUCUGCCAGCCCUGCCCCGGCAGGGCUGGAGGCCCCCCCCCCCCCCCCCCCCCCCCCCCCCCCCCCCCCCCCCCCCCCCCCCCCCCCCCCCCCCCCCCCCCCCC
rnacentral:lncRNA from 12 species